CCGGGAAACCGGGGCUAAUACCGGAUAACAUUUUGAACUGCAUGGUUCGAAAUUGAAAGGCGGCUUCGGCUGUCACUUAUGGAUGGACCCGCGUCGCAUUAGCUAGUUGGUGAGGUAACGGCUCACCAAGGCAACGAUGCGUAGCCGACCUGAGAGGGUGAUCGGCCACACUGGGACUGAGACACGGCCCAGACUCCUACGGGAGGCAGCAGUAGGGAAUCUUCCGCAAUGGACGAAAGUCUGACGGAGCAACGCCGCGUGAGUGAUGAAGGCUUUCGGGUCGUAAAACUCUGUUGUUAGGGAAGAACAAGUGCUAGUUGAAUAAGCUGGCACCUUGACGGUACCUAACCAGAAAGCCACGGCUAACUACGUGCCAGCAGCCGCGGUAAUACGUAGGUGGCAAGCGUUAUCCGGAAUUAUUGGGCGUAAAGCGCGCGCAGGUGGUUUCUUAAGUCUGAUGUGAAAGCCCACGGCUCAACCGUGGAGGGUCAUUGGAAACUGGGAGACUUGAGUGCAGAAGAGGAAAGUGGAAUUCCAUGUGUAGCGGUGAAAUGCGUAGAGAUAUGGAGGAACACCAGUGGCGAAGGCGACUUUCUGGUCUGUAACUGACACUGAGGCGCGAAAGCGUGGGGAGCAAACAGGAU
rnacentral:rRNA from 1 species